rnacentral:rRNA from 1 species
UACAUAGGGUGCGAGCGUUAAUCGGAAUUACUGGGCGUAAAGCGUGCGUAGACGGUUAUUUAAGUCGGGUGUGAAAGCCCCGGGCUCAACCUGGGAAUGGCAUUUGGGACUGCAAGGCUGGAGUUUGGCAGAGGAGACUGGAAUUCCUGGUGUAGCAGUGAAAUGCGUAGAUAUCAGGAGGAAUACCGAUGGCGAAGGCAGGUCUCUGGGCUAUAACUGACGCUCAUGCACGAAAGCGUGGGGAGCGAACAGG